CACACACACUGGGCGAGGGCAGCAGGCGAAAUGGGCGAGAGUAGAGACGCUGGGCUGGGUUGUGUGUGUGUGUGGUUAAACCUUCCACCCCAGACAGGUGCAUUGUUCCCCUCAUAACAGCACAGACUGUCCCUCCCUACUGGCUCUGUCUCUAGUGGCCCCAGUGGGCUCCUGUAGACCCCAGGGGAAGCCCCAAUGCUUCCAGUGUGAUGAAGAGGUUGAAUGUGGGCGUUAUUUCUAGCCUACUGAGUGAAGGCUGUACUAUCAGUAAUAUAGAUAGUAAUACAAAUAUGACUGUUGUUCCUCCUCUCCUAGAGGACAUGCUUCAGAUGCAUGUCCGUCAACCUGUACAUACACUGAGUGGACAAAACAUUAGGAACACUUUCCUAAUAUUGAGUUGAACAGCCUCAAUUUGUCGGGGCAAAUUGAGGCGUUCCAUAAGGAUGCUGGUCCAUAUUGACUCCAAUGCUUCCCACAGUUGUGUCAAGUUGGCUGGAUGUUCUCUGGGUGGUGAACCAUUCUUGAUACGCACAGAAACGGUUGAGCGUGAAAAACCCAGCAGAGUUGCAGUUCUUGACAUAAACUGGCACCUACUACCAUACACCGUUCAAAGGCACUUACCUAUUUAGUCUGGCCCAUUCACCCUUUAAACAGCACAAACACAAUCCAUGUCUCAAUUGUCUCAAGGCUUGAAAGUCAUUCUUUAACCCGUCUCCAUCCCUUCAUCUACACUGAAGUGAAUUUAUCAAGUAACAUCAAUAAGGGAUCACAGCGUUCACCUGGUCAGUCUAUGUCAUGGACACUCCCCCUGAGGAGGGGGUGUUGAUGUUAGCUGAAUGCAGAUAAACCCAAAUAAUGGGCUGCGAUUUAGUGACUGUCAGUGAAGCAGCGGGCGGCGCCGUGGUGGCGACACACAAGCCACCUAAACAAUGAGACGCUACGCCACCUCUGCUGCCAAGGAUAUGCCGAGUUUUGUGCCAUUAAAUAUACAUGCAGCAACGCCUCUCUGGGAUGUGUCAUCCCUUUCUAGAGAAAACAAAGAUUAGCAACAGGAAUUCCAUUUUAAUAAGUCUCGGGGGACCCUCCAACCAGCUGCCUGCUUCACAAUACGACAGGGACUUGUUGCUCUCUGUGCGUCUGUCUUCCCCGCACCUCUUUCCUCUGACGUUGAUUACUCUUCCUCCGCUCUUAUCAGGUUUUUUGUGAAUCCCUUGUUAAGUUGUUUUACACUAGUCACUCGUUAAUGUCUGUGUGUUUCUUCUCUGUAGCGACCCCUUAGUCUCAUUUUGUUUUGUAGUCGUUCUUUCCCUCCUCUCCUCUAUUCUGGUAUAUCCCCUUCUCCGUUCCUCCCUCUGUCCCCCUCCUUCUGUCCCCCUUCUCUGUUCCCCUUCUCUGUUCCUUUCUCUGUCCCCCUUCUCUGUCCCCCUUCUCUGUUCCCCUUCUCUGUUCUUCCCAUUGUUCCCCUUCUCUAUUCCUCCCUUUGUCCCCCUUCUCUGUCCCCUUCUCUGUUCCUCCCUUUGUUCCCCUUUUCUGUUCCUCCCUCUGUCCCCCUUCUCUGUCCCCCUUCUCUGUCCCCCUUCUCUGUCCCCUUCUCUGUUCCUCCCUUUGUUCCCCUUUUCUGUUCCUCCCUCUGUUCCCCUUCUCUGUUCUUCCCUUUUUUCCCCUUCUCUGUUCCUCCCUCUGGAUUUUUUGAUUUUACGAUAGAGAGAGAGAGAGAGAGAGAGAGAGAGAGAGAGAGAGGUAAAGAGACAGAAAGGGGGAGAGAGAAAGAGAGUGAUAGAGAAAGAAAGGGAGAGAGAGAGCAGUAAAGAGACAGAAAGGGGGAGAGAGGAAGAGAGUGAUAGAGAAAGAAAGGGAGAGAGAGAGAGGUAAAGAGACAGAAAGGGGGAGAAAGAAAGAGAGUGAUAGAGAAAGAAAGGGAGAGAGAGAGAGGUAAAGAGACAGAAAGGGGGAGAGAGAAAGAGAGUGAUAGAGAAAGAAAGGGAGAGAGAGAGGUAAAGAGACAGAAAGGGGAGAAAGAAAGAGAGUGAUAGAGAAAGAAAGGGAGAGAGAGAGAGGUAAAGAGACAGAAAGGGGAGAGAGAAAGAAAGGGAGAGAGAGAAAGGGGGAGAGAGCGGUAAAAGAGACAGAA